UCACUUAAAGUUUUCCUUCCCUGAUUAAUUGAUAGCAUAUAUCUAUCUUUUUUUCUAGGCAGAGGCAUUUUUGAAAUACUUCCUAGGCUUAAUAAAAUUACAUUUGAUAGUGUGAUUGAUGAACUAUUGUUUCUCAAUUUUCCACUUGAGUGUAGAUUGCCUUCUGGUUUGAUGAUGUUGGAAAAGGGAAAAACAAUUCAAGAGAGUGUCUAUGAGCAACUGCAUGUUCAUGAGAAUCAACUGCAUAUUAUUUACGCUCAUGAUUUGAAGGUUCCUGGUGACGGGUUGUCAUCUUGCAAGAACUUUGGAGUUAAAGCUGGUUGAGGACACAGGAUUUUCCAGAAGGUACACAUGGUGUUUGCAGAUUGCUGAGGUUGUCAAUAGUAUGAAAGAUUUAAUGACUUUCUGCCGGGAUAAUGACAUCAGGCCAAUGGGUAAGUAGUUCUCACAUCACAUGCUGCAGUGAUAGCAUGCAAUACUGUCCCCUCUCCCCAUGAAUUAUGGAUCAUUACUUAAAAGAAAAAAGAAAAAAAAAGGCACACACCAUUUUAGAUUGUUUCUUGAGUUCUUCUCCCCAUUGGCCUUCUUUUCUAUUGAUAUAAUAUCAAUAAUCAAUUGUAGAGAGCUCGAAAAAUUAUUCCUGAGAAACCACCACAACUAAUCUCUGGAAAAAAAAAUUAAAAGAAAAGGUGGGUAUAAGGUGUGCUCAAUGCCAGCCAACUGAAAAAGAUAAGUUGAUGGCUACUUUUACUGCUCCCGCCUCCCAGCAGUAAUGUGAAUGAUGGUCUAAAGCUGAUCAACUGAGGACAUUUGACUAGCUCAGAACAGGCAGCAUCAGUACUGCCAGGUUAUUGCAACAAUUUUCUGAGAUAGAACUCCUUGGCCUCAAGAGUAAACAGGGUAAGGCAAGAGAGUUCUUCAAAUGUGUCUAACCACAGUGCACCUUGUUAAACUGUAUAGAGGCCCUAAAACCUCAGUUCAGGACUAAUCCAAAACUCAACAAUUGAUGGCUUGUCAAGCAAUCUCAAUGUUUCUAUUUAUUUCUUGGAGAGCCGGAAUAUACAUACAGGAUCAUACCAUCCAAAAGACAAAGCAGGAGAUGGUCAACAAAAGACGAAAAGCGAAUGGGAAUACUGCGGACAGAGUCAACCGCUAGAUCAACCGAAGGACAGUUGUUGACUUGCCAACAAGAAGCAGAGUGAUCGAUAUUUUUCAAAACAGUUAAGUUCUGGGAACUGUACAGCAACUGUGGCUGCCCCAGGAAAUGCAUUGCGUAGUAGUGCAGGGAGGAUCAGCAGUUAGGAGCUAUCUUAAUAGUGAAUUUCAUGGCAACAACUUCAACAAGAAGAGAGAACCAGAGGUCCCAGAGAAGCAUCUUCUGCCUGAAGCAAUUUUGAACAUUAUUCCUGAUUGUCAUGAAAAAGGAAAGUUCAGUAGCAGCAGUGGUGGUGAUAUGUGCCAUGGAUGGAAGGCAUAACCAUUUUUGGGGUUAUUUUCUUGUGGAUAAGACAGAAUGUUGGGGAGUAGCUUAGCAUGUACAGGGAGUCCUGAAGCAGUUUUUAUGGGCCCUUUUGAUAAUAUCACAUGAAGUGAAGAUCACUUAUAAGCUACUCUUAGAGACUUUUGAGUACCAUGAGUUGGUAAGGUCUGCAGUCUGCACCUUGUUCAUAAUCAAUGUUUACCCGUGUAAUUUCAUACCCUCACAAUCUUAAAUAGCUUUGAUGAUAUAUAUGACAUCACAC